CUCCCGUUGAUCCUGCCGGACCCGACUGCUAUCAGAGUGGGACUAAGCCAUGCGAGUCAACGCCGCAAGGCGUGGCAUACGGCUCAGUAACACGUAGUCAACAUGCCCAAGGGACGUGGAUAACCUCGGGAAACUGAGGAUAAACCGCGAUAGGCCAAGAUUUCUGGAAUGGAUCAUGGCUGAAAUCUAUAUGGCCCUUGGAUUGGACUGCGGCCGAUCAGGCUGUUGGUGAGGUAAUGGCCCACCAAACCUAUAACCGGUACGGGCUUUGAGAGAAGGAGCCCGGAGAUGGGCACUGAGACAAGGGCCCAGGCCCUAUGGGGCGCAGCAGGCGCGAAAACUCUGCAAUAGGCGAAAGCUUGACAGGGUUACUCUGAGUGAUGCCCGCUAAGGGCAUCUUUUGGUACCUCUAAAAAUGGUGCAGAAUAAGGGGUGGACAAGUCUGGUGCCAGCAGCCGCGGUAAU
rnacentral:rRNA from 1 species